GUUGGGUGAAUAGUUGGAGUAAAUUGGGGGUAAUUAUUUUGGGCGGAAACUCUCUCUGUGGCUUUCUCUAUGAUGAAUGUGAAAUGUGAAAAAUAAAGGAAACACAACUUAUUACAUAAGAAAGAAAACAGUGUGUACAAGUUCACCUUCAUCCCACAAUCUCCAUAUACACAAAGCAGAGGACCAGACCUAAAGGCGCCCUUCGGCCGCCUAACAAAUGAAAUACUCUCCACAAAUUACAACAUCACAGAUUCAUAACCUAAAUUCACAAUCCACAAACUCUACUAGGCCGCCCAUGUCUUUCUUCUCUGCCCCCUAGUGCUCUUUGCACUAUGUUUUAGGCCAGACCUGAAGAAAGAAGGGAGGGUACUCAAAGCAUGUGGCGGCGAGAGGCGGAGCGACGCAUUGGGGACUGCGAUGCUCCUCCAGUCGAUGGAGCCAUCGAAGAAGAAGAAGAGGAUGAGGCGCCAGAAAAUACACGGUCCUGCCGGAAAAGUUGAAUCUCUGGCUGUGAAAAUCGGCCGGAAUCACCUGGAAGCCUCACGUAAUGAGCUGAAGGUGAUUCACUAAACCACGAACUUCCGGCGAGAGCCGCCUGUGCAGCAGCGCCACCCCUGUAUUGGACAAGGGCUCUAUAAACCAGAGGAAUGAGGCCUUCCAUUCUCUCUCUGAAUACAGUUUGUGCUUUCUCUCUCUAAAUUGGGUUUCUCUCUCUUUCUCCCUACGUCUCUCUCUCUCUCUCUCGGUUCUUCGCUUGAAGGUCUAUGCAUGCGUCGCUUGGUGGUGGCGAUAGGU
rnacentral:lncRNA from 1 species